rnacentral:rRNA from 1 species
GCGUUGUCCGGAAUCACUGGGCGUAAAGGGCGCGUAGGCGGUUGCUUAAGCGUGCGGUGAAAGCCCGGGGCUCAACCCCGGGUCGGCCGUGCGGACUGAGUGGCUGGAGCACUGUAGAGGCAGGCGGAAUUCCGGGUGUAGCGGUGGAAUGCGUAGAGAUCCGGAAGAACACCGGUGGCGAAGGCGGCCUGCUGGGCAGUGGCUGACGCUGAGGCGCGACAGCGUG